CAGCGGAGGGGACCGGAGCCGCCGGGCGGCCGGGCCGAACCGAACACCACGCUGAGGGAGCGGCCGGGAGAGCCCCGCGCUGGGAUAGCCCGCUUCAGAGGCCCCGGGACCUUGUCUGCUUCGGGGCCGCGUUCCGGGCGCUUCUCGUGGGUGCCCAACAGGGUUCGGCAGGGGCUGAAGAUGGAGCUGGGGGAAUCUCUUGAGACAUGACCUGGAUGUGAGACCCAAAAAGAGGAAAAAGACAGGUUGCUGCAGUUGUGAUUGACCCGCCAGGUCACUGUAAAGACAGAAGAGUUGGUGUGGCUUAUUUCAGCGGGCUUAGGCAGAAAGGAUUCUCUGUAAGCCGCCCCUGCUGGUGUGCCAGACCUACCGGGGGCUGUCCUCCUGACUGCCCCAGACUCCGGCAGCGGGGCCCCCGAUGGCAGUGGGCACCUCCCCCUGAAACCUGCCAAGCUGGACGCCACAGCUCCGCACGACGACACUUUGGCCAGCUCCGUGCCCCCUUUGGAGGCGUGCAACCAUGCAGUCCUAGCCUGCAGCCCGGGCAUCCCUGAAGAACACUAUGUAAGCGAAGCUGUGGAAGAUGCUCCCAGCGACAGAGCGUACCGGGAUGCCUGCACCAUUACCGAUGUGUGCAAUAGCACCGAUCUUCCAGAAGUUGAGAUCAUCAGCUUGCUGGAGGAGCAGCUGCCCCACUAUAAGUUAAGAGCCGACACCAUCUACGGUUAUGACCACGACGACUGGCUCCACACGCCUCUCCUUUCCCCAGACGCCAACAUCGACCUCACCACCGAGCAGAUCGAGGAGACGCUGAAAUACUUCCGUGAGUAGCUGCCCUUUGA